AGACAUCUUAAACAGCUGCAAUAUCAGGCUUGGCCACUGAGCACUGGUGGAUUACAAAACAAGUAUGCAAUGCUCCUGGGGACCUGCUUGUGCAGAGCGAACUCAAAUUGCCGGCAGAAUGGGCGGGGCUACCCAGUCUACGCAGAUCGAGGAGUGGCCAUGGACCAAGCCCCAUAGACCUAUUAAAGAACGAAGCGGCUAGGUCAAUGGCAUGAACCUAUAAAGAAAGGGAGUGGCUCAACGUGGGUGGAGCUAAAUGUUUGGCUUUGCACCGGAAGACGAAGAAUGUGCGUCCGACUCCAAGGCCAUAGUAUUGUGUGCUUUUCUGCUUAGAGAGUAUGUCUGUGAGAAAUAAAGAAGCUACUUUGAUAGACCUUGUGUUGUGUGUGCGUUUGACACGUGUCCCGCAGCCGUACCGCCCGCUACAUGGAGCACCACAUACUGGGCCGGAAGCCUCUCAUGCUCUCCACGGUCAAGCCCAGGCUGAUUUACUCCCUCUUCCUGAGGCCAUCCCUUAUGAGGGAAAUGUGAGACACAUCAGUAUACUCUCGGAUGGUGAUACACCAACCAUUAAUAAAUGCACCAACCGUGAACUUUUCCACUGUCCCUUCUGCAAAUAUGUGGGUGCAAUAUAUAUGGUUGACAACCAUAUAAAAGGCCAUUCUUCAGUAAAACAUAAAGGGUUCACAAUGAUCAAGUGUGGAUUAAGUUGUCGGACGGCAACGCAUUUUCAUUGUUGCUAUUGUACAGCAACAAUUAUAAAUCGAUUGCAAUUUACAAAGCACUUACUAAUACACCAGGGGAAGGGGCAUGCUGCAGCCCCCGCACGGCACUCUGUGGCCCCUGUGCAGCAGUCUGUGGCCCCCGCUCAUCACCCAUUGGUCCCCGCUCAGUACCAAGAGGCCGCCGCUCAUCACCCAUUGGCCCCCCCCGCUCAGCACCCAUUGGCCCCCACUCAGCACCCAGAGGCCCCGGCUCAGCACCCAGAGGCCCCGGCUCAGCACCCAGCAGCCCCCACUCAACACCCAUUGGCCCCGCUCAGCACCCAUUGCCCCCAGCUCAGCACCCAUUGGCCCCAACUCAUCACCCAGAGGCCCCCACUCAGCACCCAGAGGCCCCCACUCAUCACCCAGAGGCCCCCACUCAUCACCCAGAGGCCCCCACUCAUCACCCAGAGGCCCCCACUCAUCACACACAGGCCCCCACUCAUCACACAGAGGCCCCCACUCAGCACCCAUUGGCCCCAACUCAUCACCCAGAGGCCCCCACUCAUCACCCAGAGGCCCCCACUCAUCACCCAGAGGCCCCCACUCAUCACCCAGAGGCCCCCACUCAUCACCCAGAGGCCCCCACUCAUCACCCAGAGGGCCCCACUCAUCACACACAGGCCCCCACUCAUCACACACAGGCCCCCACUCAUCACACACAGGCUCCUGCAGAGUGUUCCGAGGCCACUAAAGCAUCUAGUAAACAAAAUAAACUCUGUUGUCCUCAUUGCAAGAUGAUUUUAAGCAAAAAAAACUUCAAAACACACUGCAGGAGAAAACACCCCCACCAAUUUGAGACGGACACUUGGCGUGAAUGAUGUCAAGGGUCUGAAGAUGACAGAUUUCUGGACAGAAAAAGGCGACAAGAGCAAGGAGGCCAACAGAGGAAGCUGAGUACUUGACAGAACUGGGAACAGGGUAUGUUUCUCCAACCUUUAAUAGGGCCUGAGCACCAUGAAAGAUCAAACAUGUUCAAUGAUUCAAAGUCUGCUGUCACUGGUUUAUUUGACUAAGCUAAUAUAGUUGAUUGUACAAAAUAACAUGUCUAUGUAUAUAUUGUUUGUCACUCUCAGGUAAAUGCUAUGGUGUAUAUCUUUUUUAUCAUUAUAGGCAGCAUGAAUGAAAUAAUGCACAGUAAAAAAACAUUUGACAAGUUAAAGGUAGGGAUGUCUGUCUUUCAAAUGCAUGAACGCAAACCUAGUUGCACAGGUUUUGAGUUCAGUGAGAGCUGAACCUCAGUACAAAGUUGUAUGUGAGGUGAAAAUGUAAAUGUAUUACCAUUAUUUUUAUUCACAAGAUGAG
ensembl:lncRNA